rnacentral:rRNA from 1 species
AAAUUGAAGAGUUUGAUCAUGGCUCAGAUUGAACGCUGGCGGCAGGCCUAACACAUGCAAGUCGAACGGUAACAGGAAGCAGCUUGCUGCUUUGCUGACGAGUGGCGGACGGGUGAGUAAUGUCUGGGAAACUGCCUGAUGGAGGGGGAUAACUACUGGAAACGGUGGCUAAUACCGCAUAACGUCGCAAGACCAAAGAGGGGGACCUUCGGGCCUCUUGCCAUCAGAUGUGCCCAGAUGGGAUUAGCUUGUUGGUGAGGUAACGGCUCACCAAGGCGACGAUCCCUAGCUGGUCUGAGAGGAUGACCAGCCACACUGGAACUGAGACACGGUCCAGACUCCUACGGGAGGCAGCAGUGGGGAAUAUUGCACAAUGGGCGCAAGCCUGAUGCAGCCAUGCCGCGUGUAUGAAGAAGGCCUUCGGGUUGUAAAGUACUUUCAGCGGGGAGGAAGGUGUUGUGGUUAAUAACCACAGCAAUUGACGUUACCCGCAGAAGAAGCACCGGCUAACUCCGUGCCAGCAGCCGCGGUAAUACGGAGGGUGCAAGCGUUAAUCGGAAUUACUGGGCGUAAAGCGCACGCAGGCGGUCUGUCAAGUCGGAUGUGAAAUCCCCGGGCUCAACCUGGGAACUGCAUUCGAAACUGGCAGGCUUGAGUCUUGUAGAGGGGGGUAGAAUUCCAGGUGUAGCGGUGAAAUGCGUAGAGAUCUGGAGGAAUACCGGUGGCGAAGGCGGCCCCCUGGACAAAGACUGACGCUCAGGUGCGAAAGCGUGGGGAGCAAACAGGAUUAGAUACCCUGGUAGUCCACGCCGUAAACGAUGUCUACUUGGAGGUUGUGCCCUUGAGGCGUGGCUUCCGGAGCUAACGCGUUAAGUAGACCGCCUGGGGAGUACGGCCGCAAGGUUAAAACUCAAAUGAAUUGACGGGGGCCCGCACAAGCGGUGGAGCAUGUGGUUUAAUUCGAUGCAACGCGAAGAACCUUACCUGGUCUUGACAUCCACAGAACUUUCCAGAGAUGGACUGGUGCCUUCGGGAACUGUGAGACAGGUGCUGCAUGGCUGUCGUCAGCUCGUGUUGUGAAAUGUUGGGUUAAGUCCCGCAACGAGCGCAACCCUUAUCCUUUGUUGCCAGCGAUUAGGUCGGGAACUCAAAGGAGACUGCCAGUGAUAAACUGGAGGAAGGUGGGGAUGACGUCAAGUCAUCAUGGCCCUUACGACCAGGGCUACACACGUGCUACAAUGGCGCAUACAAAGAGAAGCGACCUCGCGAGAGCAAGCGGACCUCAUAAAGUGCGUCGUAGUCCGGAUUGGAGUCUGCAACUCGACUCCAUGAAGUCGGAAUCGCUAGUAAUCGUGGAUCAGAAUGCCACGGUGAAUACGUUCCCGGGCCUUGUACACACCGCCCGUCACACCAUGGGAGUGGGUUACAAAAGAAGUAGGUAGCUUAACCUUCGGGAGGGCGCUUACCACUUUGUGAUUCAUGACUGGGGUGAAGUCGUAACAAGGUAACCGUAGGGGAACCUGCGGUUGGAUCACCUCCUUACCUUAAAGAA